AUUGAACGCUGGCGGCAUGCUUUACACAUGCAAGUCGAACGGUAACAGGCCGCAAGGUGCUGACGAGUGGCGCACGGGUGAGUAAUGCAUCGGAACGUGCCCAGUCGUGGGGGAUAACUACUCGAAAGAGUAGCUAAUACCGCAUACGAUCUAUGGAUGAAAGCGGGGGACCGUAAGGCCUCGCGCGAUUGGAGCGGCCGAUGUCAGAUUAGGUAGUUGGUGGGGUAAAGGCUCACCAAGCCAACGAUCUGUAGCUGGUCUGAGAGGACGACCAGCCACACUGGGACUGAGACACGGCCCAGACUCCUACGGGAGGCAGCAGUGGGGAAUUUUGGACAAUGGGCGCAAGCCUGAUCCAGCAACGCCGCGUGCAGGAAGAAGGCCUUCGGGUUGUAAACUGCUUUUGUACGGAACGAAACGGCUCUGGUUAAUACCCGGGGCUAAUGACGGUACCGUAAGAAUAAGCACCGGCUAACUACGUG
rnacentral:rRNA from 1 species